AGCCUGUUUUUCCUAGAAUAAAAUCUGCUGCUCAAAACGACUAAACAGAUCGUUACAAAAUGUCAAUGGAUGGUUAAGAGGUUUUAAAGCUCAAAUACAGGGGAGCAUGGAGAAUGAGGUGGGGCUUACUCAUUUACUUUAUGCAGAUGAUUCUCUGAUUUUGUGUGAGGCUGAGGUGACACAAAUCAUACACAUCAUAGCUAUUCUCACUCUUUUUGAAGGUGUCCCUGGGCUACAUGUUGAUUGACAAAAGAGUUUGCUCUCCAGUAAACCAUAUAAGCAACAGAUAACUGGUAGCUAGCAAUCUUGGUUGCCAAAUAACUUCUUUACCCACAUAGUAUUUGGGCAAGACUAUCUCGACCUUAGCGUUUCUAUUUAGAUUCCCGUUCGUGAUCCCAGCCCCGGAAUCACUUCACUCCAGCGCCUCCUCAGUCUUCUUGCGCAUGCCUUUGGGAGCACAAAACAAGGACAUAGGACUGUGGAAUGAUGUUCUAAAGAGAUGUGACAGGAAACUUGGAAGGUGGAACAUUCCUUACCUCUCUUUGGGAGGGAUUGACCCUCGUCAAGUAAAUCCUCUCCCGUCAUACAGGAUGAGGCUUUUCCCUAGUCCAAAGAUUAUUGAGAAAAAGAUCAACAAACUUACAAGAUCUUUCCUUUGGAACAGAAAAAGAGAAAAUAGACGUUAUAACAAGCUAGUCAAGUGGGAUAUUGUAACAAUUAGUAGGAAGCACGGGGGAUUGGACAUAAAAAAGCUAAGCCUCCUUCCUUCUGCAGAAAUGGUAGUGGAGAUUCUGCACUGAAGAGAGUAAUCAUUGAAAAAUAUGGACUACAAAGUCAUUGGUCUACUGAGGAGGUUCCGGGAAUUCUAGUGUGUAGUGUUUGGAAGACGAUUAGAAGACUAUGGCCAGGGUUCAAGGAUAACAUUUCACUUAAGGUGGGAAAUGGCUGGAAAAUUGACUUCUGAAAUGAUUUAUGGAUUGGAGAAGAAUUCCUUGCAACUCUAUUUCUAGAUUUACUUAUACUCCAGCCAAUAGAAAAAGGACACAAUUUCUCAGAUGUGGAGCCCUCAGGGAUGAAAUUUCUUGUUUAGAAGAACCCUCAAUGAUUGGGGAUGGAGAGAAUCAUUGCUCUAUUUCAUAUCCUAAAUACCUUCCCAGGCACCUCGAAUGAGCUUGGCAAGCCUAUAUGGAAAUUACAGAGGAAAGGAGUGUUCACAGUGAAGUCUUGCUACUGGAGUAUCAAUGAUGCUCAAAGAAGAAAUACAACUUGGCCUUGGAAACUAAUUUAAGAUACAAUUACCUCUAAAGGUCUCAUGUUUUGCUUGGUUGGUGUGUAGAAGGGCAUGUCUAACACAUGAAGUGCUUCAGAAAAAAAGGAAGACAAAUUUGUUUAAGAUGUUUUAUGUCUGAUCAAGAUGCUGAAGUCAAUGCACAUUUUUUCCUCCACUGCAAGGUGGCAGCUACCGACCUAUGGAACAUGUGUUUUUUUUACAACCUUGGUGUAUGCUGGGCAACUCCAAAAACCACUAAGGAUAUGCUAGACAGCUGGAAUGAGAUAGGAAGAAGACAUUUACUGAAGACUGGUGGAAGUUGAUACCAGCUUGCAUUUGGUUGACUCUACAGAAAGAAAGGAUUUCUAGAUGUUUUGGGACAAGUGUAACAACAUCGAUAAGAUAAGGAUGAAUAGCCUUAGUCUUUUAUACUUUUGGUGUAAACAGGAUAUGAUGAGGGAUAUAAAACUUCUUUUGUUGAUUUCAUGAGCAAUUUGUAAUCUCCCUACGGGUAGGUUUUGUUAUGCUCUAAUGAGAUUGUAAGUAAGUUAUGACUUUGGUAAAUACACAAUUACCCUUAUCUCAAAAAAAUUGUUUGUUACAGAUUUCCUAUUUAUUGGUUAAGAUUGAUAAUUUGUUGCUACAAAUGACUCAUUUGUUCCAACAUAUAUGUAAGUCACCUUGAAAGAUUAUCUUACAAACUCAUAUUUUUUAUUAUAGGUUGUGCAUCUAUGUCUUGUCCCAACAGAAAAAGAGUUGCAAAUAUCAUUCCUUGUUGCUCAAGCAUUUGAUGAGACACUAUUUGAUCCUAUGGUGGUUAGAGUUAAAUGGGAAUUGUUGGAGCAAGAACCAUCAAAAGAGAAAAAGUUGAUGCUGGUCAACUUGUUGUUUUUGAUGAGGAUAUGAUUAAUGCAGCUGUAAGGGCUAGUGUUUGUGCUGAAAAAAGUGGUAAGAAGAAAAAUCAUUGGUGUUUGUGGUUCUGAAAGAAUGUUGACACCAUUUUGUGGGGCUGAAAGAAGUGUUGGGGCUACCACUUGUAAUAAAUGUUCUGACUUUUAAUGUUGUAAGUGCUAGACAAAAGAUGAUGAUGUUGUCAGGUGUCUUCAAACAUUGACCGAGGCUGUGAAAGAAUUGACAUCCAAGAGGACGGGAUCCAUGUACUCCACAUGCUAAGAGGAGAAGAAAAUUGUUUGUCAAGGCAAUAUCAAAUAUGGAAAAAAAUUUAUUGGAUAAUUGUCAAUGACCGUAAGAGAGAAGUUGGUGCUUAAGAAGGUGAAUAUUUACAAGUUCGUGCCUUCAGCUAUAAAAGGCUACUUUGUUGGCACUGAUGGAAACAAAUGAUCACGAGUUCUACUCCAUGCAUUAUCUUGAUGAAAAUAGUUUUAAGAACAUGACUAGUAUGAAUGUUUGGUGGGAGGACUUGUAAGUUCUUAGCCUCACGUGGGAGGGGCAUAUCAGAAUCACUGAGCACUAUGAUUUCAGGAUAGGAUCAUGGAUCUCAACGAUCUAUCGUUAGCUUCAUAAACAAAUUUAAGAUUAUGAGCGAGGAAACAACAACAGAUGGUGGCAGAACCUUUAAGCAGUUACUCGCUGAGUUUGUACGGCAAGAGGAUGUCGUUGAAGGGAAGAGACCAGGUCCUGGUGGCAUGGAUUGGAUAGGGGCAAAGAGGAUUCUUGCAGUCAUGAACUCAGGGAAAAAACAUUUUGUGACUCUUGAUAUCCUCUGGAACAAGGGAGUCAUUAAUGUUUAUGACUGCAACAUUGGUUAGCUAUUAAUAACUUUAAACUGGUGUAAUAAUAUAGUUAAAACAGGUGAUGAUUUGGUUUAUAUAAUUUAGCAGAAAAAAAUAUGUAUUCUAUCAUUGAAACUGCUACACUGCCUCUCUUAUGUCCAGAAUUAAUUAUAUAGCUAGAUAUAGAUUUUCAAUGGUGUGUAGUAGCCCCAAUUUGUUGGUUUGGGCUGCACAAAUGAUUUCCUGGAAUUGUUUAGUAAUUUGUCAAGUGUUUCUAUUGCUGAAUGAAUUUCAAUGCUGUUUUGUUUCUUCUCGUUUAAGUAUCCAUUUUGUUUUAAGUUAAAAGGAUGAAUUAGAAGUGAUUUAUUAGAAGUUUUGAUGAAGAGAUACUACACAUGUGGGUUUUCAUUCAAUAGUUGGAAACGAAGGCAGAAGCUGUUUGUGAACUGUGAAAUUUCUUUUUACUUCCAUCGAUCACUUUAGCUCAUGCAUUUUUCCGAUACUGCAGCAUUACAGAAAAGAGGUUAGGCAAUAAAAGGGCUGCUAAAUUGCUUGAGCCUGAUAACUUAGUACCAUACAGAGAAAAGCUGAAAUCUGAAAAUCAUAUUAAGAAAUCGAGAAGAUCUGAAUGUGCUAAUUGUAUGCAUUACAUCACGACAGAUUUUUGUAAGGUGAUGGUGGAGGAGAAAGGUCUUUUAACUUUGGUGAGGGUGGUUCUGGCGAGUCACGCUGGUUGUUGCAUGGUGCUAGACUGCUGGUCGGAGAGAUGCAGUAAGAAAAUACUAUAAUACUAAAAGUUUUUUGGCUACUCCAUAUUUUGCAGGAGGAGGAAUUAAAGAGUCCCCCUUCAGCUGCACAGGAAAACAAAGGAAAUGAUUGAUACUUCAAUUUUACUUUCUUCUUGAUCCAAAGAAUGUUCUUUGUGAAAAAUAAAAAUUAGUGAUAAACAAUGCAAUUUCAAAAUGUAACGGACAUGUCAUCCA